rnacentral:sRNA from 1 species
GUAGAUAAUCGUGGGCCACAAGGCUGAUGCGGAGAACUCUAAGCGACAGGUUAGCCUUGAGGAGGCCAAAACAUUUGCUGAGGUCAAGGGCAUUUUCUUUGAAGAAGCCAGCUCCAAAAAUGACUUAAACGUAUCGCCCAUUUUUCAUAAAUUGACAGAAAUGAUGUUGCAAAAGAAUCAACCCAUUUUACCAGUCGAUAAAAAACACAUUAACACUAGACAGGGUAAAGAGGAGUCUAUCAAGCUAAGCACAAAGAAUGAUCAAGAGAAAAAGAAAAAGAAAUGUCAAAUUUAGUGUUUUUAUUUCAAUGUCUAGCUCAAUCGAAUAAAUGUUUACUCUUAAAUGAAUGCAA